UUACCAUGCAAGUCGAGCGGAUGAAGGGAGCUUGCUCCUGGAUUCAGCGGCGGACGGGUGAGUAAUGCUUAGGAAUCUGCCUAUUAGUGGGGGACAACAGUUGGAAACGACUGCUAAUACCGCAUACGCCCUACGGGGGAAAGGAGGGGAUCUUCGGACCUUUCGCUAAUAGAUGAGCCUAAGUCAGAUUAGCUAGUUGGUGGGGUAAAGGCCUACCAAGGCGACGAUCUGUAGCGGGUCUGAGAGGAUGAUCCGCCACACUGGGACUGAGACACGGCCCAGACUCCUACGGGAGGCAGCAGUGGGGAAUAUUGGACAAUGGGGGGAACCCUGAUCCAGCCAUGCCGCGUGUGUGAAGAAGGCCUUUUGGUUGUAAAGCACUUUAAGCGAGGAGGAGGCGCCCUAGAUUAAUACUCUAGGAGCGUGGACGUUACUCGCAGAAUAAGCACCGGCUAACUCUGUGCCAGCAGCCGCGGUAAUACAGAGGGUGCGAGCGUUAAUCGGAUUUACUGGGCGUAAAGCGUACGUAGGCGGCUUUUUAAGUCGGAUGUGAAAUCCCUGAGCUUAACUUAGGAAUUGCAUUC
rnacentral:rRNA from 1 species